rnacentral:rRNA from 1 species
GACGAACGCUGGCGGCGUGCUUAACACAUGCAAGUCGAGCGAGGCCCCUCCUUCGGGAGGGUGUCCUAGCGGCGAACGGGUGAGUAACACGUGGGCAACCUGCCCUCAGCUCUGGGAUAACUCCGGGAAACCGGGGCUAAUACCGGAUACGACCUCCACGGGCAUCUGCGGAGGUGGAAAGUUUUUCGGCUGAGGAUGGGCCCGCGGCCUAUCAGCUAGUUGGUGGGGUAGUGGCCCACCAAGGCGACGACGGGUAGCCGGCCUGAGAGGGCGACCGGCCACACUGGGACUGAGAGACGGCCCAGACUCCUACGGGAGGCAGCAGUGGGGAAUAUUGCGCAAUGGGCGAAAGCCUGACGCAGCGACGCCGCGUGAGGGACGAAGGCCUUCGGGUUGUAAACCUCUUUCAGCAGGGACGAAGCGAAAGUGACGGUACCUGCAGAAGAAGCACCGGCCAACUACGUG